GAUGAACGCUGGCGGCGUGCCUAAUACAUGCAAGUCGAGCGAACAGACGAGGAGCUUGCUCCUCUGACGUUAGCGGCGGACGGGCGAGUAACACGUGGAUAACCUACCUAUAAGACUGGGAUAACUUCGGGAAACCGGAGCUAAUACCGGAUAAUAUAUUGAACCGCAUGGUUCAAUAGUGAAAGACGGUUUUGCUGUCACUUAUAGAUGGAUCCGCGCCGCAUUAGCUAGUUGGUAAGGUAACGGCUUACCAAGGCAACGAUGCGUAGCCGACCUGAGAGGGUGAUCGGCCACACUGGAACUGAGACACGGUCCAGACUCCGACGGGAGGCAGCAGUAGGGAAUCUUCCGCAAUGGGCGAAAGCUUGACGGAGCAACGCCGCGUGAGUGAUGAAGGUCUUCGGAUCGUAAAACUCUGUUAUUAGGGAAGAACAAAUGUGUAAGUAACUAUGCACGUCUUGACGGUACCUAAUCAGAAAGCCACGGCUAACUACGUG
rnacentral:rRNA from 1 species